rnacentral:rRNA from 1 species
UCCUAUGUCUUUAUGAUUCUUCUUCAGGACGAACGUAGGCGGCGGGCCCUAUUCAUGCAAGUGGAGCGGACAGAAGGGAGUCUGCUCCCGGACGUUACCUGCGGACGGUUGAGUAACACGUGGGUAACUUGCUUGUACGACUCGGAUACCUCUGUGAAUCCGGAGCUAAUACCGGAUAGUUCCUUGAACCGCAUGGUUCAAGGAUGAAAGACGGUUUCGGCUGUCACUUACAGAUGGACCCGCGGCGCAUUAGCUAGUUGGUGGGGUAAUGGCUCACCAAGGCGACGAUGCGUAGCCGACCUGAGAGGGUGAUCGGCCACACUGGGACUGAGACACGGCCCAGACUCCUACGGGAGGCAGCAGUAGGGAAUCUUCCGCAAUGGACGAAAGUCUGACGGAGCAACGCCGCGUGAGUGAUGAAGGUUUUCGGAUCGUAAAGCUCUGUUGUUAGGGAAGAACAAGUGCGAGAGUAACUGCUCGCACCUUGACGGUACCUAACCAGAAAGCCACGGCUAACUACGUGCCAGCAGCCGCGGUAAUACGUAGGUGGCAAGCGUUGUCCGGAAUUAUUGGGCGUAAAGGGCUCGCAGGCGGUUUCUUAAGUCUGAUGUGAAAGCCCCCGGCUCAACCGGGGAGGGUCAUUGGAAACUGGGAAACUUGAGUGCAGAAGAGGAGAGUGGAAUUCCACGUGUAGCGGUGAAAUGCGUAGAGAUGUGGAGGAACACCAGUGGCGAAGGCGACUCUCUGGUCUGUAACUGACGCUGAGAGCGAAAGCGUGGAGGACAGUGGGAGAUCUUCUAUUGC